AUUGAACGCUGGCGGCAUGCCUUACACAUGCAAGUCGAACGGCAGCACGGGGCAACCUGGUGGCGAGUGGCGAACGGGUGAGUAAUGCAUCGGAACGUACCUUUCAGUGGGGGAUAACGUAGCGAAAGUUACGCUAAUACCGCAUAUUCUGUGAGCAGGAAAGCAGGGGAUCGCAAGACCUUGCGCUGAUUGAGCGGCCGAUGUCAGAUUAGCUAGUUGGUGAGGUAAAGGCUCACCAAGGCGACGAUCUGUAGCGGGUCUGAGAGGAUGACCCGCCACACUGGAGCUAGGACACGGACCUGACUCCUACGGAAGGCAGCAGUGGGGAAUUUUGGACAAUGGGGGCAACCCUGAUCCAGCCAUGCCGCGUGAGUGAAGAAGGCCUUCGGGUUGUAAAGCUCUUUCGGCCGUAAAGAAAUCGCACGGGCUAAUACCCUGUGUGGAUGACGGUACCGGAAUAAGAAGCACCGGCUAACUACGUGCCAGCCGCCGCCGUAAUAC
rnacentral:rRNA from 1 species